rnacentral:tRNA from 1 species
AGGGAUAUGGUGUAAUCGGCAACACAUCUGAUUUUGGUUCAGACAUUCUGGGUUCGAGUCCUAGUAUCCCUGCCA